rnacentral:rRNA from 1 species
UACGAAGGGGGCUAGCGUUGCUCGGAAUCACUGGGCGUAAAGCGCACGUAGGCGGAUUGUUAAGUCAGGGGUGAAAUCCUGGAGCUCAACUCCAGAACUGCCUUUGAUACUGGCGAUCUCGAGUCCGGGAGAGGUGAGUGGAACUGCGAGUGUAGAGGUGAAAUACGUAGAGAUUGGGAAGAACACCAGUGGCGAAGGCGGCUAUCUGGACGGUUUCUGACGCUAAGGCACGAAAGCGUGGGGAGCAAACAGG